rfam:Schistosoma mattheei strain Denwood, Zambia genome assembly, scaffold: SMTD_scaffold0002010
AUCCAGCUGAUGAGUUCCAGGUAAGACGAAACGCGCGUCCUGUAU